rnacentral:tRNA from 1 species
GGGGUUGUGGCUCAGUGGCAGAGCGCUUGCCUAGCAUGCAUGAGGCACUGGGUUCAAUCCUCAGCACCACA